GUCUUGUGGGAGGAGUAUCGUGCUGCCAGACGUUCCUGCGGGAAAUCCGGUGUGAAUCCGGAGCGGUCGCGCCACUGUGAGUCCAUCCGACCAGGUCGGAGGGCGAGUCAGGACGCCGCCGGACGUCGGGAAUGUGC
rnacentral:ncRNA from 2 species